ACUUGUUUCUUUGGGUAAUCGAUAAAAGUGGAACGAUACAGAGAGGAUUAGGAUGGCUCUUAUUCAAGACUGAUAUGCAGAAAUCAAGAAAUGGACCAAAUAAAU
rnacentral:snRNA from 1 species